rnacentral:lncRNA from 1 species
ACUCCGGUGAGUUUCUCCUCUCCUUAUUUCUUUUGUUUUUAUUUUCUUAAGUAGAAAGAAAUAAAAAGAAAUCAAACUAGAUGUAAAAACACACAAAAAUAAAGAAACGAAAAUUACUUCUCCGAUUCAAAGUUUAUGUUUUUAUUGUUCUUGUGUCCGUAAAAAGAGAGGAAGAGCCCCCUUUGCCGGCCAUCGACCACCGCACCGGUCGCCGGACGCCGGCGACGACGCCGCCGUUCGCGGUGGCCGGAAAACAAAAAAAAAGCUCCCUUUUUCUCCUUUUUGCGAAUAGGGUCCAGAUCUGGGGUUAGAAAAGCCGAAAUCCCGGCGAAAAGGGCCAAAAUCGAAAGAGACCUUUCGGUUCUUCCUCUUUCCACCGCCGCCGGAAACAGGUAAACUCCUUUUUACUUUUAUUUUUUUUUAUCUUAUAUAUAUGUGUGUUGAUAAUAAAAAAGAGAAAGAAAUACUAUAGAAAAACCGAAAUAGAACGAAAAUAAAGAAAACGAAAAAAAACAAGGUGAAUCACCUUCUAAAGCCCCUUUUUUAUUUCUUUCAAUUUUUUCAAAAGCCGAAUCUUCUCUUUUUUGUUACAAUAGUCCCCUUCUCCUUUUUUUUGUUUCUCUUCUUUUUUCCUCGGUCCGAUUUUGCUUGUGGCUUUUAUAGCCAAAAAUACAAUAUUCUGUUAAUGUUUAUUGCUCCAUUUUUUGUCCUUUUCCUUUGCUUGUUUGCAGGUGCGGCAAAAGGCAUGGUGGUGGCAGACAGCAUGGGAGAGUGGGAGUGGUGCUGGUGGCAGACAACAUGGGAGAAUGGGAAGAGGCAAGUGGGAGUCUAGGGUUUUGGGAUUGGGGUUGGAUGUUGGGCUAGGUUGAUUUUAGGUUUUGGGUUUUAUUAUUUGGGUUAUUUUGUUGGUAUGGGCCCGGGCAAAAAUGGACUUUUACAGUAACAUUUUAAGUUUAUAUAUUGUAUACACAAAUAGUUAUAUUUAUCUAAUAUAAAAAUAUAUUGAUGUCUUUAUUUCUUUAAAUGUGUAUGAAUAUUGAAUCAAAAUUAAAGUUUCAUAUAUA